ensembl:lncRNA
CUUCUUUUUUUUUUUUUUUUGGCGUUUACGAUGUCAAAUCCUCACCAAGCUGUUUGGUCUUUGCCAUGGCAAAUCUUGGGUUGACUUGAAAAUCACUGAAACGUCACAAGCAAGUCGACUUUUAUAGUCAGAAGACUGGUUAGAAAACAGAAAACAAAAACUCAGAAAAAUUGAAAACGAUAUUAAACUCUUUAGACCCUUAAAAAGAAUGGUUUGUUUGAACAUCUCCGUCUUGGUAUCAGUGGGGUAUGAAUAAUUUUGGGCUUCAGUAUAUAUAUACAUGUAUGUACCAGUGCAUUGACACGGCAUCCUCCAGUAGCUGAAAGGUCAGUUUGUUGUAUUAUUUUGAGGGUAUAUCAUGAGUGUGAAGCAGUGUUGGUCACAUGGACACACUUUUGCGCUGCUUUUUGAUUUAUUUUUAACCUGCUGUGUUCGAGCAGAGACAUCGUGUAACUGCCAUAUUCGUUUUGUUUUUAUUUUUGCAUGUUUGUACAGCGGUGUGUCACAACAAGCUAAUAGUGCCCUACAAGUGUUCCCACGUUUUUUUUCUUUUUGUUUUGUUUUUGUCCUGUUACUUUCACAUAGUCUGGGACGUCGUAAUUUAAAUCUCAGCGACAUAAUUCCCUAAGAGCAAACCAUUUCAUUCAAUUCAGUUUUACUUAUGUAGCACCAAUUACAAUUCAGAUUGUCUCAAAACGCUUUACAGAACUCACAUGCCUCAAUGGUCUGAAACCUUUUUCUGUUAUUUUUGUCAGUUUCACCCUUUUGUCGGCUGAGUAGAGGGUCCAGGCUUUAAAAUUAUCUCAGUAGAACCUGAAAGUACCCUUUAAGGAUGAUCUAGUUUAGUAUUAUUAGUUUGUCUGUCAGUAAUAACGACACUGACAAAAAGAGUCAGGUAUACCACAAAAAGACACAAAAUCUCCACCAAAAGGGUAAAAAAUUACCACAAACGUGCAAAACUACCACAAACAGAUGUUAAAUCGGCACAAAAAAAUGCAAAAUUACCACAAAAUAACAAAUGUCCAAAAUCACCACAAAAACAGGCCAAAACUACCACAAAAUGACACCAAAUCACCACAAAAAUAAGUGAAUAUACCAAAAAAAGACACAAAAUGAACACCAAAGGGUAAAAAUUACCACGAAGACUCAUCUGGUUCUUCAUCUCCAGUAACUUUAUUAACGAUCAGAGUUCUACUUUCAUACUGUGAAUAUUUCCAGAGUUCCAGGUCCUUGAAGUCCAUAGAGGAGAAUGUCCUCUGUAGAAAGUUCUAGAGUAGACCUACCAACAACCACUGAUUAUUAAUCAGUGGUCCUAACAGUUGUCCUUAGGUAUACUCUUGAACUCUGACAGGGGACGUUCUCCUUUCUUGCUUCCAGUCUUUAAGUUUAGUGUCACUUUGAACAUUCAGACUUCCAGGUCCUUGAAGUCCAUAGAGGUGGAUCCAAAAAGAUAAACCGACUCGUGUCAGCUGAGUAGGCUUUAAAAUUUCUCAAUUAUCUCAAUAGAACCUGAAAGCACCCUUUAAGUAGGAUCUAGUUUAGUAUAAUUAGCUUUUCUAUCGGUAAUAACACUUUCUUGUGUCCCCCCCACCUCUCUACCUCUAUCCCUCCACCUCUAACCCUCUACCUGUAACCCUCUACCUCCACCCCUCUACCUCUAACCCUCUACCUCUAUCCCUCUACCUCCACCUCUAACCCUCUACCUGUAACCCUCUACCUCCACCCCCUCUACCUGUAACCCUCUACCUCUAUCCCUCUAUCUCUACCCUCCUUUCUACCUCUUCUGUCCCUCUCAACCCGCCCGGCCAGCAGACAGAUGGUUCCCCCCACAUUAGAGCCGGGUUCUGCUCGAGGUUUUUUUCCCUGUUAAAAGGGUGUUUUCCUUGCCACUGUCGCCUUUUGGCUUGCUCUGGGGGUCAGGCAUAUGGGUUCUGUAAAGCGUCUCGAGACAAUUUGACUGUAAUUGGCGCUAUAUAAAUAAAAUUGAAUUGAAAAAAUUUAAUUUCUGCUCCAAAUUAGACCCAGAGAGACUUCUGAUCAGCCAUUUUGGAUAAUUUAACUAAUCUAUCAAGAAAACAGCCAAACUUGAUCUCAUUUUACUUCAUCAGAUGUGAUAAUUUGCUGCAUCUCUCAAGUUUUAAGCUGAUAAUCUGACCUGAGGGUUAAUUUGAGGGUCACUUUUGAUGCCUGGAAACUUCAGAUUGACAUUUUAGACUAAAUAUUGUAUUAAUAUUAAUAAAGACGACUUGAGAAGGGAAAUUAAUUUUCUUUCCAUUUCGGCUGAAUGUUCAAAUUAAUUUGAUUCGAUGGGUUUCAUACUGUAUCACUGCAAAAUGGACUGUUUUUGUUGGGGUUUUUUGUGUUUGUUUUUAAAGCCUCAUCGUUACAGAAUUUGUUCACUGCAGCUGAAAACUUUUUGAGAAGAAGGUUCAGUUUAAUGGACAGUUACCACACUUUACGCAGUAGUAAUAGCAACAAAAGUGAAAUAUCAUAACCGUAAAAGUAUUCAUUCAUCUCAGUCUCUACUUGCUUUCUGCUGUUUCAGCUUCUAGUAUCUCUGCAUCGUUUUCUAACCAACUUUGCACACUGUGAUGGAGCGAUAUUUACUCAGUCUUCUUUGCAAAAGUUGCUCAGAGCGAAUGGACAAAAAUAAGGAAAUGUUUUGAAGAACAUCUGUUGUUGUUUUGUUCCCUCCAGCCACUCCUGUUAAGUUAUCGUCUAUGCAUAUUUAUUACGUUUUCUCCAGUCAGAAAAAUGUAGGAUUUAUGAGGGAUUUGUUUUUAUUCUGAGCUCCGUUGUUUAAGAAUCAGUGUCAAAUGUCAAAUAACCCGCGAGGCUGCCAUGUCCACUUCCUUUUCUUGCAGAUGUCAGUAAACGUUCGGCGUUGGUGAACCUUUCAUUCCUUUUUAGCAGAGUUUGAGGUCAUUUCUGCAAGUUGGAAAUCAGAGUUUUUACAUUUAUUUAACGUGAUGCUCGAGGAAAAUGCAAUUUAAUCAAGUUCAACUAUCUUAAAACAACCAAAUGUGAACAAGUCUUGGGGACUGAAUGCUAUUUUUAGGUACUACUGCACUGUUUCAUCGACUGAGCACAUUUUUAUUUUUAUUUAGCCCUGAUUUCAUUUCAAAGGCACAACUGUUUCUUAUGCUGUUUUAUUUAUAUUCAGAGACCUCUAAUAAAAUGUUUAAACCUGCGUAGUUCUCAUAUAUAAGGAGACUCCAAAUGUUUUAUUUGCAAAAAUUGUUAUAAACGCUGAAUAUAUCAGAUUAUUUAUUUGUAUUUUUUUCUUCAUUUGCCCGUACAAGAAUAAAACAUUUAUAGAAAUAAACACAGUUAAUGCACAUUGAUGCCUCUAAUGCCUAUUUAAAAUUGCGACCUUUUGUUUUAAAUUUAAUUUUAUGUUUUAUUUUGUCAUGAAAUUGACUUCAUCGAAGGGAUUCCAAUGUUGUUUUCCCAAGUUUGUAGCGUGAAGAGAAUGUAACUGUAAAAUCCACGAUGUUUUUGUUUGUUUGUUUGAUUUAUUUGGUCACAAUUUGAAGACUACACCUGGGGAUUUAGCAUGUUCCAGUCCAGACUGCCUGUGAGUGUAAAACCUUCCCAGAAAUCAGCUCUUCGUAUGAACCAUUCCCCCCCCACCAUGUGUGUAAAUGGUCAGAUUUGAUGUAAACGAUGGCACUUUUCCCCUCGUCACACAUGCCAGUAAUGGGAUCAAUAAUCUGAAAUGUGUCUGUAUUUAGGUUGUGAAAUUUUUUUUUUUUUUUUUUUUUUUUUAUUUUGCACACCGUUUAGAAGGCUGACACGUUUUUGUUUUUGUUUUUCCUACCCAUAUAUACCUGUGUUUGCAAGGGGGAAUAUACUUUGCUGUAGCAGAUUUUAUGUAACAAAUGAUAUGUC